rnacentral:pre_miRNA from 26 species
CGGUCUCCUGAAGCAAAGUUCUGUGACACUCAGACUCUGGUUACGAUAGCAGUCAGUGCACUACAGAACUUUGUCUCCGGGGGCUG